CGCAUCUGUGCAUGCAGCAUAUCAAUAAGCGGAGGAAAAGAAACUAACAAGGACUUCCCCUAGUAACGGCGAGUGAAGCGGGAAGAGCUCAAAUUUGAAAUCUUAAAGGGUUUCCCUUUACGAAUUGUAGUUUAAAGAAGUGUUUUCUGUUGAGGUUUUGGUAAAAGUUCUUUGGAAUAGGACAUCAUAGAGGGUGAGAAUCCCGUAUUUGACCUUUACUUUCAACUUUGUGAUACACUUUCAAAGAGUCGGAUUGUUUGGGAAUGCAGUCCAAAAUGGGUGGUAAAUUUCAUCUAAAGCUAAAUAUUGGCGAGAGACCGAUAGCGAACAAGUACCGUGAGGGAAAGAUGAAAAGAACUUUGAAAAGAGAGUUAAACAGUACGUGAAAUUGUCGAAAAGGGAAGCGUUUGACACCAGUGUUGUUUUUCUGAAAAUCAAUUAAAGAACUGUUUAUGCUAAGUUGUUUAGACUUUAUCAGCUAACUGUUUAGUUUUGAGCUUUUCUUUAAUGCACUUUUCAGUUAACAAGUCAACAUCAAUUUCUUUUGCUGUAAAAAAGCUUGAGGAAGGUGGCUUGAGAUUCGUCUUAAGUGUUUAUAGCCUCUUGCCUAUGCAGUCGGAGAGAUUGAGGUCUGCAGCGUAGAUCCUUCGGGGCUAAAUGCAUUUGUGCUAAGUUAUAGCAUUUUAUAGACAACUUGUUGACUAUGAUUUGUCUUGUAGCUUACUCGCUUAUGUUAUUUUACCUACGCUUAGGAUGUUGACAGCAGUAUAGACUGU
rnacentral:rRNA from 1 species